rnacentral:rRNA from 1 species
GAUGAACGCUAGCGGCAGGCUUAACACAUGCAAGUCGAGGGGUAGAAGCAGCUUGCUGCUUUGAGACCGGCGCACGGGUGCGUAACGCGUAUGCAAUCUACCUUUUACAGAGGGAUAGCCCAGAGAAAUUUGGAUUAAUACCUCAUAGUAUGUGAGAAUCGCAUGGUUUUCACAUUAAAGUUCCAACGGUAAAGAUGAGCAUGCGUCCCAUUAGCUAGAUGGUAAGGUAACGGCUUACCAUGGCGACGAUGGUAGGGUCCUGAGAGGGAGAUCCCCACACUGGUACUGAGACACGGACCAGACUCCUACGGGAGGCAGCAGUGAGG